rnacentral:rRNA from 1 species
CAGUCGCCGCGGGAAUACAGAGGGUGCGAGCGUUAAUCGGAUUUACUGGGCGUAAAGCGUGCGUAGGCGGCUUCUUAAGUCGGAUGUGAAAUCCCUGAGCUUAACUUAGGAAUUGCAUUCGAUACUGGGAAGCUAGAGUAUGGGAGAGGAUGGUAGAAUUCCAGGUGUAGCGGUGAAAUGCGUAGAGAUCUGGAGGAAUACCGAUGGCGAAGGCAGCCAUCUGGCCUAAUACUGACGCUGAGGUACGAAAGCAUGGGGAGCAAACAGGAUUAGAUACCCCCGUAGUCCCUGUCUCUUAUCA